GCGCUCGCUUCGGCAGCACAUACACCGACAUUGGAACGAUGCAGGGAAGAUGAGCAUGGCAUCUGCACAAGAAUGACACACAGAUUCAUGAAGCGUUCCAUAUUUUC